rnacentral:misc_RNA from 1 species
GACGAGGGGUCCUAGCGUUGUUCGGAAUCACUGGGCGUAAAGCGCAUGUAGGCGGCUUGGUAAGUCAGUUGUGAAAGCCCUGGGCUUAACCCAGGAAGUGCAGCUGAUACUGCUGAGCUUGAGUAUGGGAGAGGGCAGUAGAAUUCCUGGUGUAGUGGUGAAAUACGUAGAUAUCAGGAGGAAUACCGGUGGUGAAGGCGGCUGCCUGGCCCAAUACUGACGUUGAGAUGCGAAAGCGUGGGGAUCAAACAGG